GUUGGAGACGACUGCUAAUACCGCAUAACCUGCUAGUACCGCAUGGUACAGACAGAAAAGAUUUAUCGGUGUAUGAUGGACCCGCGUCUGAUUAGCUAGUUGAGGGGUAACGGCCCACCAAGGCGACGAUCAGUAGCCGGCUUGAGAGAGUGAUCGGCCACAUUGGGACUGAGACACGGCCCAAACUCCUACGGGAGGCAGCAGUGGGGAAUAUUGCACAAUGGGGGAAACCCUGAUGCAGCAACGCCGCGUGAGUGAAGAAGUAUUUCGGUAUGUAAAGCUCUAUCAGCAGGGAAGAUAAUGACGGUACCUGACUAAGAAGCCCCGGCUAACUACGUGC
rnacentral:rRNA from 1 species